UGGAGGUUAAAAUAUUUUUUGAGAUUAAAAAAAUGUAAUGUAUGGAAAUUGUUUUAGUUGCAAUUAGUGAAAUUUGACUUGCACGACAGACCAGACGUCAUGUAAUAUCUUAGUGAUCAGUCUUUUUUUCUUUAACGGAAGCCAAGAAUAGCUACAACUUUCUAGUAUACACUUCAUUGAUGACUUCAACAAAUGAUUACUCAGAACAAGAUGUUUAUCAAAAUUGCUGUUGGAUAUGCCGACAAAGGGGUUCUACGAAAUUAGUUCAGUUCUUCAAUUUCAACAGAACACAGUAGCAAAACUGCGUGUUUCACAGAUAUAUGUUUGUUUGGGUUUGAAGUUAAUGUAUUUCAACGUAUUCUGGUCAGAGGAAGGGAUGAGCUCCGGUUAUUAAAUGUUUAUUUUUGUAAUUAUGAUAUUAAAGAAUUUAAUGACUUAAUUCCGGGAUGAAUAGGCUAAUGACUAAAUCUGUUUUGAAAUGAUUCACACUGUCACCAUCAGUAUUUCAAAAGGUUAUCCCACAACACCUGUAACUUCAAUAAUCUUUGUUACACCUUCUCCAAGAGACACUUGACAUCUCUGUAUAUCCUUCACCAGCACUCAUACACUGAAGGUGAAUGCCAAGACCCAUUCCAGUCUCUUCCACUUGAUAUUCAGAAAGGUAUUGCUGUCAAGGGUGGGGUUGAAGACAUCCCAAAUGAAGAGAAACUAGGAGUUCUUAGCUCUCUUGACUAAUACCAUCAAAUACAAAGUAGAUGACCCCAUCAUAAUAGAUCUGGUAAAGGAGGACAUUCCCAUCUUUAUUAAAAUAGCUAAAAUUAUCCAGUUCAGAGCUCUCUGCAUGAUCUUUGGAAAACUACUGACACCCAAGAAGUUCAACAGCCAUUAUCAUGCCUUUUCUUUUGGAGUACCAGAAGAGGUGGCUUGUGGUUAGGCCAGGGGAUGGGAGACUACCAUGCUUUGGACACCUAUGUUCAUGAUGACAAUAUGUUCCUUACACUUCAUCAUAGUGUAUAUGUCCAGUGAACAGGAAAUUGACAGAGAAAAUCUGCUGGGAUUAACAGAGAGGAUGGUGAAAAAACAUUUCCCUGUGAUGAAACAUCAGGUCAUGUUUUGAGAGAGUUGGAGAAGCUGCGGAACACCUCAUCUCUGGUCCAAAAUCAAGACUCAUCAGACCAGGCAACAUUCUUCCAAUUUUGAUGCCUCAUGAAAUGAGGCUGGGUUUUGGCCAGGACUUGGAGCUAAAUCUUCAAGAUGCUCUGAAUGUGAUGACACCCAACAUCCUAAGGGUGGCUUGUAGUGGGAGUCAGAAGGGCCUACUGUCAAGCCUGCUGGGAACUGAGACUAACAAAGAUGAAAUUUCAGACCUGCAAAGGAGUGCAGCAUUACUGAUUCUGUCUACCCUAUUCAGCUCCACGUUCCUGUACUGUUUAGAUGAGGAACUGACAUUCAUUUCCAACCUUCACCUCCCAUGAUGCAGGAAAUCCCCUCCUUAAGAUGGAAGGAGUCAUGAUCACAAGUGGAGAAAUGGAUGUGCCACAGGCUCUGCAGUGUCUUCUUGAGUUGUGCUCAUAAGUUUGCACACCCUGGCGGAAAUUGUG